rnacentral:rRNA from 1 species
UACAGAGGGUGCGAGCGUUAAUCGGAAUUACUGGGCGUAAAGCGUGCGUAGACGGCUAUCUAAGUCGGGUGUGAAAGCCCCGGGCUCAACCUGGGAAUUGCAUUUGAGACUGCGUAGCUAGGGUGCGGAAGAGGGAAGCGGAAUUUCCGGUGUAGCGGUGAAAUGCGUAGAUAUCGGAAGGAACACCAGUGGCGAAAGCGGCUUCCUGGUCCAGCACCGACGUUCAGGCACGAAAGCGUGGGGAGCAAACAGG